UAGAUUUAGUGUUCAUAAACAUACGUCAUAUUUUACGUCAUGGAGUCAGAAGAUCAAUCUGCAGGAUGGAUUUUAACUUGUACUUAUAAGGAAUGUAGUGACGACUAAUGGACACAUCACAGAUGGCAUCAAUUAACACAGUGUCAGAGAUUAUGAAGAACAAAUGGAGUAGUAGUGCAGAGGUUUGUAAGAUUUCUUGGAUGCAGUUUGAAGAUGAUGAAGUGAUGAAAGAUCCAGGAUCCAGAUAUAUUCUUCUUGUGCUCAAAGAUAUCUGGCUGCACUACAUUUGCUAUACAAAUUAUGACAGAAGUUUAGACUUGACUUGUGAAAUGAUAAAGAACACAUUGAAAAAGAAGUUGGACAAAAAGUGAGAUUAAUGCAGAAACAAUUAAAGCUGCAGUGAGUGAGAACCAUUCACAGGAGAAUAACAAACUUAUCUAUAUGAUAUUUGCAACAAUAAAAAUGAUAUGUAUUUUUAUCUCUGUUUUUUUUUUCA